AAAUUGAAGAGUUUGAUCAUGGCUCAGAUUGAACGCUGGCGGCAGGCCUAACACAUGCAAGUCGAACGGUAACAGGAAGCAGCUUGCUGCUUUGCUGACGAGUGGCGGACGGGUGAGUAAUGUCUGGGAAACUGCCUGAUGGAGAGGGGAUAACUACUGGAAACGGUGGCUAAUACCGCAUAACGUCGCAAGACCAAAGAGGGGGACCUUCGGGCCUCUUGCCAUCAGAUGUGCCCAGAUGGGAUUAGCUUGUUGGUGAGGUAACGGCUCACCAAGGCGACGAUCCCUAGCUGGUCUGAGAGGAUGACCAGCCACACUGGAACUGAGACACGGUCCAGACUCCUACGGGAGGCAGCAGUGGGGAAUAUUGCACAAUGGGCGCAAGCCUGAUGCAGCCAUGCCGCGUGUAUGAAGAAGGCCUUCGGGUUGUAAAGUACUUUCAGCGGGGAGGAAGGUGUUGCGGUUAAUAACCGCAGCAAUUGACGUUACCCGCAGAAGAAGCACCGGCUAACUCCGUGCCAGCAGCCGCGGUAAUACGGAGGGUGCAAGCGUUAAUCGGAAUUACUGGGCGUAAAGCGCACGCAGGCGGUCUGUCAAGUCGGAUGUGAAAUCCCCGGGCUCAACCUGGGAACUGCAUUCGAAACUGGCAGGCUUGAGUCUUGUAGAGGGGGUAGAAUUCCAGGUGUAGCGGUGAAAUGCGUAGAGAUCUGGAGGAAUACCGGUGGCGAAGGCGGCCCCCUGGACAAAGACUGACGCUCAGGUGCGAAAGCGUGGGGAGCAAACAGGAUUAGAUACCCUGGUAGUCCACGCCGUAAACGAUGUCUACUUGGAGGUUGUGCCCUUGAGGCGUGGCUUCCGGAGCUAACGCGUUAAGUAGACCGCCUGGGGAGUACGGCCGCAAGGUUAAAACUCAAAUGAAUUGACGGGGGCCCGCACAAGCGGUGGAGCAUGUGGUUUAAUUCGAUGCAACGCGAAGAACCUUACCUGGUCUUGACAUCCACAGAAGAAUCCAGAGAUGGAUUUGUGCCUUCGGGAACUGUGAGACAGGUGCUGCAUGGCUGUCGUCAGCUCGUGUUGUGAAAUGUUGGGUUAAGUCCCGCAACGAGCGCAACCCUUAUCCUUUGUUGCCAGCGAUUAGGUCGGGAACUCAAAGGAGACUGCCAGUGAUAAACUGGAGGAAGGUGGGGAUGACGUCAAGUCAUCAUGGCCCUUACGACCAGGGCUACACACGUGCUACAAUGGCGCAUACAAAGAGAAGCGACCUCGCGAGCAAGCGGACCUCAUAAAGUGCGUCGUAGUCCGGAUUGGAGUCUGCAACUCGACUCCAUGAAGUCGGAAUCGCUAGUAAUCGUGGAUCAGAAUGCCACGGUGAAUACGUUCCCGGGCCUUGUACACACCGCCCGUCACACCAUGGGAGUGGGUUGCAAAAGAAGUAGGUAGCUUAACCUUCGGGAGGGCGCUUACCACUUUGUGAUUCAUGACUGGGGUGAAGUCGUAACAAGGUAACCGUAGGGGAACCUGCGGUUGGAUCACCUCCUUA
rnacentral:rRNA from 1 species